AUGCACACACUCCUCCAAAGCCUUAUAUUCCCCAGGUUUCUUUUUAGAUCAGUCAGCUAUGCAGCUGCAUUGCACGGAUUUUGCCACUAGAAUGCACCCUUAUCUAUGGUAAGAGGAGGGAGAGCUGCUUAAAAGCAUUAACUCUUUCUUCACCAAAAUUUCCCCGCUGAAGGCUUUCUUGUACAUUUCAGGUGUUCUUGUUUUACCGCCUUCCUACCCCAUGUAGGCUCCAUAGUAAAGAUCGGCUCCCUCCAGUCCUUUUUUCAACCCCUCUUUUCAAAAAGGAAAGGCACAUUUCUCAGCUUUUGCCCCUUUCUUUGAAUCAGCAGGUUUUCCAGAGGUUUUAUUUGAUAAUACCCAAAUCUCUGCUUAGAUCGUAGCUAACUACUGCAAAAUAGGCAUCCCUAAGGUAAGAAAAGCAACUCCCUUGGAUUUCAUCUAGAAGCAUUUUUUAAAUGUUUUUUUCCAGUUGAUACUUAUGACUUCUACAACAUAUUAAUUGCAUUGUGCGGCUGACUUUUGUGGGGGUCUGCUACUGGUCUGACUGGGUGCCUUGCAGAACAUAGCACUGGGCAGAGAGAGCACUCCUCACCUGGAAAUCUGAAAGCACUUUGCAACAGGGCUUAGCACAGGGGAGAACUGGCUUUCCUUCUUCUCUCCACCGCCCUGUAAGAAAAAGUCCAUCCCAAAUAAUAUCUAGUAUGGAGACAAUGUGAGUACUGGGAGGGGUGGUGGGGAGGUUUCACUCCCUCUGCAACCUGCGGGACGCAGAGUGGUGAGGCAUGUAGGGAGCUGCUUCCAUCCAGCCCAGCUGCAAGCCCUGGCACAGGAGGCUUGGGCACGGCUGGAUGGCUGCGGGGCAGGGAUCCUGCAAGGCAGCCCUGGGGAAGCUGCCCUAAUUUUAGUCUGUCCGGGAGCUUUCUCCUGGGCUUUCCAGGUGGUGUGAGGUUGUCUUGAGGGCAUCUUAGCUUCCCUCCUACACUGAGCUGCAAGGUUCUGCUGGGACUUUCAUCCAUGAAAGCACACCUGGAAGCGGUGUCAGAUUCUCAAACCAGAAGAUGUUAAAGCUUUAGUCAUGAGAUGUGCCCUGAUGACAGGUUUUCUGCCAGAUUAUGAAAGUGGCCUCAACCACGAGGAUCCUACCCCUGAGCCCAGCAGUCGGGAUGAAGCUGCAGAUGAACGCUUGGUACAUGCUGUCUGCACUCCUCCCUUUUUGGCAUUUUUUUGCUUUUUGGCAUUUUUGCUGGUGCUCCAAAAAAAACCUACUACCCAGGAAAAAAAGGCAGCAAAGAGGCAGCAAACAGUUGUUCAUGAGCCAUAGGAAAGCCUGCAGCUAACAAAGGUCUCAUUUCUCCUGCCUUGUUCUCUUCCAAGGGUGGUCACAAUAAUGCUUUAUAAGACAUGCUUUCUUAUUUUGGGGGAAUGAAGAAGGAGAAAAAGCUAAGGUUUCUAUUAGCGUCUUCUAAUACACUUCAUUGCUAUAGGCUCCAUGUGUUACAUAUGGCUCUUUGUUGCAAAAAAAAAAAGAGUAGUUAUUUGGAAAGCAGUUACCAUUCUUUAUAUUACAGAUAUGUCACAAUUCAUUAUGACAUUCUCUGUAAUGUGCAAAAGCACUGGCAUUCCUGGGCAUGAUAAGGAGGAUGAAACAUAUGUUUUAAUCACUUUGGGCUAAUCUUUGUGUUUUGGGGGCACUUCAAACGUCAAUUGAGUUGAGGCAAUCUGGAAAGAUCGAGAGCUGAAUCACAGAUACAUGACUGAGAUAUUUUUUUCUUCUCCCCCCAAAACCACUGUCCAGUUUGUGUAGGUCUUGUUAGGAAAAUAAUGCUUAUACAGGAGAAUGGUGUUUUUUGGAGUUUGUUUGUUUGUUUCUCUUGUGCAAGUAUUAAAAAAUACCAACAGGUUGCGAAAUCAAGUGCCUCAAGCAUCAUUAUGAAAAGAGCCAAUAUUUCAUCUUUGGAGUAAUCCCAGAGGGCACAAUGACAAGUGACAAAAUUGGAACUGAUGGGGCAAGCCUGAGCAAGAAGCACAGAAAAAUAAGACAGGCAACAGCAGGCGGUGCAGAUACCAAUGCGCUGCUUCACUUUGCAUGGAGGCUGGGUCGAGAGUCAGGAGUAAAAUCUGAUUCCUCCCCACAAUAUUUGUCCUUCCCUUGGAUGGUGCCUUCCUCCCCAAGAGGUGCUGGCAGCUUCCCGCUGGGAGCCUUUUCCAGCAGCCUGUGCUGAGUGGUGCUGUAGUAGAGCUAGCGAGGGCUAGGUGGCAUACUGGAUACAUUAGAGAGUCACCUCCAAGGACUUCCUUCCAUAUCCAGCAAGGGCCAGGCUGAAGGAAAUUAUCUCUUUGUAGGCAGCUUUCUGUGUCAUUAAAAAAACAAAGCAACCGAUGCUUCCAGUGAAGACAGCAUCAAUGUUUUGCUUUUUAACAUGCCUCAUGGGGGUAUCAAUUUUAAACCGCAUGUAGGAAUUGGAGUCUCCCCUCACCAGAUCAGUGCCUGGGUGUUCUGGAGGGCUGGGUUGGCUCCAUUUCACGUUAUCAGGGCUUGGCUGCCAACAUUUCCUGAGACGAUGGUGGCUGGGGUGCCUCCACCUCCCCAUUGCCCACCUGUGCCACCCUGCGAGGAGUGAGGGACAUCAGCUCUGGGACCUUUUCAUAAGGACCAGAACUGUACUGGAUGUUGCUCAGGGGACAAAUUCCUCUUGCCUGAGCACAGAGAAAAUUAGUUUCUUUUGCUAAUGGGAGAAAGACAAAUGUUUUGUCAUGAGCAGAGGUUCCCUUUUGUGCCUUUGCGGCCAUCAUGGCUGGUGCAGCAGGCAGAGGCCUGCAGGGCCUGAGUGGGUCCCUUAGCGUGGCUGAGCAUCUCCCCUCCUCCCAGUGUGCUUGGGAUGUCAGGGAAGCACGGUUCAGCUCUGGGGAGGAGCGUGGCCCUCAUCCAGAGGCUCUGGAGGGCCCAGGAGGAAUUGCAAAAGCAGCUUUGGUUCCCCCGUCUGUACAACAGGGCUGGUGAGGCUCCUGUGUCGCAGAGGGGCUUGGCUGCAUCCACACUGUCACUGCUGGAAGCGGCUGGAGAUCUUACUGAGUAUCACAGUCAAAAGGUGACUGAGGCACAAAGUAGGACUGGAAUUGGCUGAAAAGGAAAAGUGCUCCCAGCUGAAGGGCAGAAAACACCUGCAUCUAAUAAAAACAAACGAGGAACAUCAUCAAUAACCAGAAGAAAAAAUGGCAUAAAUAAAAGAAGUACAAAUUCAGAUGGUCUCUGGGAAACUUGAACAAAUGCCCCAGCCUGCUGUCUUCUGGAGAUGUAGCAUGAUAGGUUGACAGAGACAGAGGGAAAGGCAGGCAUGCCUGUGCCCUGCGUUGAUGCUGACUGCUUGGAAAAGCCAUCCAGAGGGCAAGCGGAGCAUGCAAGUGCUGGAGCCAGCACCCUCAUAGGUCUGUGCUGGGAAAUGGUUAUGAUUCCUCCACUUCUGCAGCCUGGGGAAAUGCAGUGACUCAACACGCUCAUUCUGGUGGGUGACAUCUUUGUGUUGUGAUGCAUGUAACUGCAUCAGGAAUCAAUUGAGCAUUCCCCCCGUGCGUCAGGCUGACGGGAACUCACUCAGACCAGAGUCACGCUGCGGCACAUGUGACGUCGCGUCUUUGAAGGCACUGCUCACAAUGGUUUCGGGAAAGUGCCAGCCAACUGCGUACUGCUUGGUGAGAGGACAGUAAUGGAAACAGAGCACGGAAACCAAGCCCUCCUACAAAGGAAAUUCCAGGAGAUCUUCUCCAGAGUAGUGGGUCUCAUGACUCGCUGCGGUGCACGGCCCUUUGGUCACCAUCUCGCUGUCUGGAGAAAGUCUGCUGUAAAUGAUGCCCUCAGACAUUGAGCUUCCUCUAGGACAGCUAACUUUUGCAUUUCAAACGAGAGCCUGGGGAUGAACCAGCAUGUGCAAAACAGGCACAUGCUGGUUAUGGGGAUGUGGGCUCAAGAGAAAUGUGCACCAUCUUGACAGGGUAGACUUAGAGAACAUAGCAUCAUGAAAAGCAGGCAAUUUGCAAGAGUUAGGAGGAGGAGCAGAGAUUUUCGUUGCCUGCAGCAGGAGAGCCCUUUCAUGGUGCUGAAGUACCACAUUAGGAAGCUGCACAGAAAAUGAGCAUCCUGGCAGUGGCACUGACUCUGCAGUCAUUCAUAUACCAGAGUGAUGUAUUCUUCCUCAGAAGGACAAGAACUUCAUCUGUGAACAAAAGCCUGUGCACAAAUUUCAGCCAAAGGGAAAAAAAGUUGUGCCUCCCACUUGCCUUCAUUUUUAUGGCCCAUUUGCACUCUUUUUCCAGAGUUUUCAGCAGCCGCCUCAAUCUUCCUGCAGAAAUCCCUCAGGACUGCCUGAUCCAAUAUAAACUUUACUGCAGCAGCUUUCCCAGGUGACUGGCUCCUAUAGCUAUUCUCUCUGCUCUAGCUCUGCCUGUAUCCACUACUUGCUGCCAAAUCCUCGAUGUUUUUCUGAGGUCCCCAAGUCUGUGAAUAGCAGAUGUUGCUUGAUUUCCUAUCUCUUCCUUUACGCCUUCUUUGUCCGCCUCUUAAAGCUUCAGGCUUUCAAAGAGUGGGCAAACUUUUCCAGCCUUGUACUGUGCAUCUGGCAGUCUGCUGGAACCUUCCUAAAUCUGAAUGUAUUUCAAGUGCAGUGGUGCUAGAUGUUGGAGGGAUCUCACUGAGAGUCCAGCAGGAUGAAUCUUUCCACCACCUCAUCCUUGACUUUGCUCACGCUCUUUCAAAUCAGUGUAGUAGCCCAUAUGCCCUGACAAGCUAUGCUUGGAGACUCCAUCCCACCUCUCCAUGCAUACAUAAAAGUUGGCUGUCUGGUUGAAGGUGCCCGUUGAGCUUUUUCAUGGUUGAAGGUAGACGUGGGGGACCUGAAAUGUCUCCAGUCUUGAGAGAUUUGGUAGAUGUUGUGAAAUGCUGUCCUUUCCAGGGUCACUUGACUGGUGACUCUUCCAGCACCUGCAGGGCUAAUGCCUUCCUCAGAAACAAUCUGCCUUCUGUGCCUUGGACUUCACUGUCCAGCCGCUUGGAAGUCACUUCCAGCAGGCUUGGGAGCACUUUGGCUUCCAGGACCAGGCAGGAGUAGAUGGCUGUGAUCACCCGGGUAGGGAUGCAUCCUGCACGGGAUGGCUCCAGCUUGUUCCUGCCUGCAUCCGUUCCAGCCGA